rnacentral:lncRNA from 1 species
AAAAAAAAAGAAAUUUGUGUAGCCCAGAAACUCUUGCAUAAAACAUAACUUCAACAAGACAGUAGUACAUUUUGGAUGAUGCAUUCCUGAGGAGCUCUUUAAAAAUUCAUUCAAGGAAAUAAAAAAAAAAGUCUCUUUAAUGAUAAAUGCAAAUUACAGGCAUAGUUGGAGCCUAAAAUUAUGUCUUGAAUAGGAAAAUUACCAGAGGAUGAAUUCCUUAAGAGCACGACUGUCUUUCAAGAGUUUCUAAUAUAUUUAAUCUCCAGUAAACUCUAGGAUAUCCAAAGGUGUAGUACCCUUUUUUUUUCCAGAAUAUGCAGUGUCUGAGAAACUUGUAUCACAUCUAUCCAUGCAUUCAACUAAUGUCAGCAAAACUAGAUGACAAAUCAUACAUAAAGGGAAGGAUGAAAAUAUUUUGUUGUAAACUUCUGAGACAUAGGGAUAAGGAAAGGAAGUUACAUAAUAUUCUAAUAACAAAUUUCAAUAAUGUGAAAAAAGAAAAAUAACAGCCAACACUUAUGAAGUACUUCUAUGCACUAGUAUGGGUAACGGCGCCAGGCACAAUACAUGCGUUAUCUCAUUUCCUCAUCACAAGCUUCCUUUGAGAUAUACCCAUUUUAUAGACUUAGAUUAAGAUGCUUGUCAGAGGUCAGGGUACAAGCAGCUGUCUGACUCCAAACCCUUUAUGGAGGCUGCCUGGCUUUUUCUCUAGCUCUUCACUUCUUAAUUAGUGCAGAGAAUCAAGUCUUGCCUUUCAUUUCUUCCCCUGCACUGAAGAAAAAUCUAAAAGUCAUCCUUUUGUAACAUUGAAAACUUGGAAUAAAAAAUUCAUUAAAAUAUUAUCUAUAGAAACACUCCCAAAGCCUCAUAGCAAGAAAUUCAGAUAAAAGCACAUAUUUUCACUACUUUAAUGUGCAUGAGUUUAAAGUCCAUGACUGUUAUUUUUAUCUUCAUCAUUCCCUAUUUGACUGAUUUUUAACCUAUCAUGUUACACCAUGGAGUGGCAAAUACUAUCAAGGAAUCAAAAAAAGCAACUCCUUCAAUAAUCUAAUUUAUAGGAAAUAGAGUAAAUUACAAUGAUGCCUCUUUAAUCUAAUUAAUUAGCUAAUUGAUUAAUUUAAUUAGUUAAUUAACUAAUGUCCCUGAUGGGCAAAGUUUUCUUAACCAGAGAGCUUCCUGGCCCACACAAGAAAGGAAAAAUUAAUGAUCCAUCAGCUGUUUCUGAACUUCAGGAUAGUUGGAGGCCCAGCUUCAGGGAUCACGUCUUCUGUGAGGUCACAAAGGAAAUUACGCCUUCAAGAAUGCACUGUUCAAGCCAUAUCCUUGACUCCGAUGAAUCAAUCAGGAAAGGGCUAUUGUUAUAAAUAAGCAAAUGAGACUGGUCAUCAAGCAACUGGUCCUCAAGGCACUGAACUAAGUGACACAAAGAAAAAAAAAAUGCUUCAACGUGAAAGAAAUAAAGCUACAGAGAGACAGGGCUGGCGCAGGGGAUCUGGACCUAGAGAACCAGCUUCAAAUUCUGCUCCACAACCUAUUUAUUGUGUGAUUUGAAGCCAAUUAUUUAAGUUCUUUGAGCUUCAGUCCCUUGAUCUAUUCAAGGAAGAUAAUAAUAAUCUCUGCCUUACAGUGUUUUCAAGGGUGAGUCCACACCCAUCCUUGAGUGAAUCAUCACCUUGGUGGGCU